rnacentral:rRNA from 1 species
CAGCUAGUUGGUAGGGUAAUGGCCUACCAAGGCAAUGAUCAGUAUCCGGCCUGAGAGGGCGCACGGACACACUGGAACUGAAACACGGUCCAGACUCCUACGGGAGGCAGCAGUGGGGAAUAUUGGACAAUGGGGGAAACCCUGAUCCAGCGACGCCGCGUGUGUGAAGAAGGCCUGCGGGUUGUAAAGCACUUUUAGUGGGGACAAAAAGCUACGGAUUAAUACUCUGUGGUCUUGAUUUAACCCAAAGAAAAAGCACCGGCUAACUCUGUGCCAGCAGCCGCGGUAAUACAGAGGGUGCGAGCGUUAAUCGGAAUUACUGGGCGUAAAGCGCGCGUAGACGGUUUUGUAAGUCAGAUGUGAAAUCCCUGGGCUCAACCUGGGAACUGCAUUUGAAACUGCAUGGCUAGAGUAUCGAAGAGGGAAGUGGAAUUUCCGGUGUAGCGGUGAAAUGCGUAGAUAUCGGAAGGAACACCAGUGGCGAAAGCGACUUCCUGGUCGAAUACUGACGUUCAUGUGCGAAAGCGUGGGGAGCAAACAGGAUUAGAUACCCUGGUAGUCCACGCCAUAAACGAUGACAACUAGAUGUUGGGAGGGUCUGCCUCUCGGUGUCGCAGC